UCUUGCAUAACACGAUCUCGAGCAACUUGCAUUGAACAUUUGCCCAUUAAUCCUGACAGCAGGUGCUCUGCUCCAAUGUUGGAAGUCAUUAUAAUAACUGCAUUCCUAAAGUCCACAGUACGGCCUUGGCCAUCAGUCAGCCGUCCAUCAUCCAGAACUUGUAGGAGAGUAUUAAACACAGAAAGGUGUGCUUUCUCCACUUCAUCAAACAGGACAACAGUGUAAGGCCUUCGUCUCACAGCCUCUGUAAGCUGCCCACCUUCCUCAUGUCCCACAUACCCUGGAGGAGCACCAAUUAGUCGAGCAACAGAGUGUUGCUCCAUAUACUCGGACAUGUCAAUUCUCACCAUCUGAUUCUCAUCAUCAAAAAGCUGCUCAGCCAGGGCCUUUGCAAGCUCAGUUUUACCAACACCAGUUGGACCCAAGAAAAGGAAUGAACCAGUUGGUUGCUGUGGCCUUCCUAAGCCAGCCCUUGACCUAAGCACAGCCUCUGCAACAGCAUUAACUGCUUGGUCUUGGCCCACCACUCUCUGAUGCAACCUCUCUGCAAGCCCAAUUAGCCUUUCUUUCUCAUUUUGGCCAAG
rnacentral:misc_RNA from 1 species